rnacentral:rRNA from 1 species
GAGUAACACGUGGGCAACCUGCCUGUAAGACUGGGAUAACUUCGGGAAACCGAAGCUAAUACCGGAUAGGAUCUUCUCCUUCAUGGGAGAUGAUUGAAAGAUGGUUUCGGCUAUCACUUACAGAUGGGCCCGCGGUGCAUUAGCUAGUUGGUGAGGUAACGGCUCACCAAGGCAACGAUGCAUAGCCGACCUGAGAGGGUGAUCGGCCACACUGGGACUGAGACACGGCCCAGACUCCUACGGGAGGCAGCAGUAGGGAAUCUUCCGCAAUGGACGAAAGUCUGACGGAGCAACGCCGCGUGAGUGAUGAAGGCUUUCGGGUCGUAAAACUCUGUUGUUAGGGAAGAACAAGUACGAGAGUAACUGCUCGUACCUUGACGGUACCUAACCAGAAAGCCACGGCUAACUACGUGCCAGCAGCCGCGGUAAUACGUAGGUGGCAAGCGUUAUCCGGAAUUAUUGGGGCGUAAAGCGCGCGCAGGC